GCCUAUUUUCCUCUCCUCUGCUAUCACGGCCCUGCCAUCCGCUCUCCCGGCAUCUCCGGCGAGUUAGGCCACCGAGAUAGCCACCCAAGGAUCCAGCUCAAGAUGGCUCCUCCAAUGCGUCUGAAUCCGCAACGCAAUGGUGGGGAUCAAGCGAACCCUCCACCUCCGCCACCUCCUCCGCCUCCGGAGGCAUGGCAAGCUGUCAUGGCAGCCACCAACGCCAACACCCAGAUGCUUUUGCAACUCUUGCAAGAGCGCAUCAAAGGUCAAGGCAACCAAGGGAAUCAAGGUGAAGGGCAGUUCAACAAUCAACCUCAGUUUGCUACCCUCAACCAGUUCCUUGCAAAUCAGCCAAAGUCUUUC
rnacentral:rRNA from 1 species